CUCUCCCGCGGCCGCGGCCGGGGCUGCCCGACGGAGCGGGGAGGUGCGGGGCCGCGGCCGUCGGUACCUCCCGGGGCUCCGUCCGCAGCGCCCAUCCGGGCUGCGCCCUUCAAAGCGGCGUCCGGGGCGCCGGCCUGCGGGCACGGCACCGCCAUCCCCGGCUGUGGCCGGUUUUGUCCUCCCGUGAUAUUGGUUUAGCAAUAAAGCAACUUGGAUGAUGA